rnacentral:rRNA from 1 species
CAGCAGUAGCCGCGGUAAUACGUAGGGUGCAAGCGUUAAUCGGAAUUACUGGGCGUAAAGCGUGCGCAGGCGGUUAUAUAAGACAGAUGUGAAAUCCCCGGGCUCAACCUGGGAACUGCAUUUGUGACUGUAUAGCUAGAGUACGGCAGAGGGGGAUGGAAUUCCGCGUGUAGCAGUGAAAUGCGUAGAUAUGCGGAGGAACACCGAUGGCGAAGGCAAUCCCCUGGGCCUGUACUGACGCUCAUGCACGAAAGCGUGGGGAGCAAACAGGAUUAGAUACCCGUGUAGUCCCUGUCUCUUAUCA